GUUGAAACACCGGUUACCGUACGAGCGUCGAAGUUAAGCGACGUCGUGCUUGGUCAGUACUUAGAUGGGUGACAUCUUGGGAAUACCA